rnacentral:misc_RNA from 1 species
GUGAAAUUUUAUAUAUUAUCAAAGAUAGUGUAUUUGUCAUACAGGCAAUAGUUUCAAUAAAUAAAUUUUCCAAAAUUUGGGGCCACUGCUCAACCUAUUGGACCGUGUUCGAAUUGCACAAACUUUAUACAAAGAAAGAGACCGUAUGUUCCCACUAACGCCUCAUGAUCUUUCCUCAAAAACCGCGUGAAUUGGCCAAUCAACUAAAUAAUUGGUCAGAAUUUGACCUCUUUGAAAAAUAUUACUAUUAUUUUUUUUCCAACUUACGUGGCACUGCCAGCAGAUUACAUAGGCAUAGCAAAUGAAGGCCACUCGUCUACAGAGUGUAGAUUGGUCAACUUAAACGAGACAACAAAACAAUUAACGACAUGUCGUGU